rnacentral:rRNA from 1 species
UACGUAGGGUGCGAGCGUUAAUCGGAAUUACUGGGCGUAAAGCGUGCGCAGGCGGUUUUGUAAGCCAGAUGUGAAAUCCCCGGGCUUAACCUGGGAAUGGCAUUUGGGACUGCAAGGCUGGAGUGCGGCAGAGGAGACUGGAAUUCCUGGUGUAGCAGUGAAAUGCGUAGAGAUCGGGAGGAACACCCGUGGCGAAGGCGGCCAUCUGGACCAGCACUGACGCUGAGGCACGAAAGCGUGGGGAGCAAACAGGG